rnacentral:sRNA from 1 species
UUUUAGCCCAGAUAGCAGCGGUAUCCUUUUGUGCAGUCCCGAAACUUCGGGACAGCACAAAAGAUAUAGCGGAGAGCUGGAAUUGCU